rnacentral:rRNA from 1 species
UACGUAGGUGGCAAGCGUUAUCCGGAUUUAUUGGGCGUAAAGGGAACGCAGGCGGUCUUUUAAGUCUGAUGUGAAAGCCAUCGGCUUAACCGGAGUAGUGCAUUGGAAACUGGGAGACUUGAGUGCAGAAGAGGAGAGUGGAACUCCAUGUGUAGCGGUGAAAUGCGUAGAUAUAUGGAAGAACACCAGUGGCGAAAGCGGCUCUCUGGUCUGUAACUGACGCUGAGGUUCGAAAGCGUGGGUAGCAAACAGG